rnacentral:rRNA from 1 species
GAUGAACGCUGGCGGCGUGCCUAAUACAUGCAAGUCGAGCGAAGCGGGGACGGGUGAGUAACACGUGGAUAACCUCCUAUAAGACUGGGAUAACUUCGGGAAAACGGAGCUAAACCGGAAACUUAUAGAUGGAUCCGCGCUGCAGUAGCUAGGUGGUAAGGUAACGGCUUACCAAGGCAACGAUGCAUAGCCGACCUGAGAGGGUGAGCGGCCACCCUGGAACUGUGACACGGUCCAGUCUCCUACGGGAGGCAGCAGUAGGGUAUCUUCCGCAAUGGGCGAAAGCCUGACGGAGCAACGCCGCGUGGGUUAUGAAGGUCUUCGGAUCGUAAAACUCUGUUAUUAGGGAAGCGGUACCUAAUCAGAAAGCCACGGCUAACUACGGGCCAGCCGCCGCGGUAAUUC